GAUGAACGCUGGCGGCGUGCCUAAUACAUGCAAGUCGAGCGAACAGACGAGGAGCUUGCUCCUCUGACGUUAGCGGCGGACGGGUGAGUAACACGUGGAUAACCUACCUAUAAGACUGGGAUAACUUCGGGAAACCGGAGCUAAUACCGGAUAAUAUAUUGAACCGCAUGGUUCAAUAGUGAAAGACGGUUUUGCUGUCACUUAUAGAUGGAUCCGCGCCGCAUUAGCUAGUUGGUAAGGUAACGGCUUACCAAGGCGACGAUGCGUAGCCGACCUGAGAGGGUGAUCAGCCACACUGGAACUGAGACACGGUCCAGACUCCUACGAGAGGCAGCAGUAGGGAAUCUUCCGCAAUGGGCGAAAGCCUGACGGAGCAACGCCGCGUGAGUGAUGAAGGUCUUCGGAUCGUAAAACUCUGUUAUUAGGGAAGAACAAAUGUGUAAGUAACUAUGCACGUCUUGACGGUACCUAAUCAGAAAGCCACGGCUAACUACGUG
rnacentral:rRNA from 1 species